rnacentral:rRNA from 1 species
CGGGUUGAGAGAUUGACCGCCAACACUGGGACUGAGACACUGCCCAGACUCCUACGGGAGGCAGCAGUCGAGGAUAUUUCGCAAUGGGCGCAAGCCUGACGAAGCGACGCCGCGUGAAUGAAGAAGGCCUUUGGGUUGUAAAGUUCUGUGGCCCUGGAGCAAGGCAUAUGUAUAAAUAGUACAUAUGAUUGAGAGUACAGGGAGAGGAAGCACCGGCUAAUUCCGUGCCAGCAGCUGCGGUAAUACGGAAGGUGCAAGCGUUAGUCGGAGUUAUUGGGCGUAAAGGGUGCGUAGGCUGAGAGAUAAGUGAGGUGUGAAAUACAGGGGCUUACCCUCUGUGCUGCACUUCAUACUAUGUUUCUUGAGGGUAUUCGGAGGAAACGGAAUUCCAUGUGUAGCGGUGAAAUGCGUAGAUAUGUGGAAGAACACCUGUGGCGAAAGCGGUUUCCUAGGGUAUACCUGACGCUGAGGCACGAAAGCAGGGGGAGCAAACAGGAUUAGAUACCCUGGUAGUCCCUGCCGUAAACGAUGUACACUAGAUGUAUCCGGGCUCAACCCUGGGUGUGUCGGAGCGAACGCGAUAAGUGUACCGCCUGAGGAGUACGCUCGCAAGGGUGAAACUCAAAAGAAUUGACGGGGACCCGCACAAGCAGUGGAGUAUGUGGUUUAAUUCGAUGCAACGCGAAGAACCUUACCUAGGUUUGACAUGCAUUUGAUUGGGUCAGAGAUGAUUCGUUUUCGCAAGAGACAGGUGCACAGGUGCUACAUGGCUGUCGUCAGCUCGUGCCGUGAGGUGUUGGGUUAAGUCCCGCAACGAGCGCAACCCUUAUCGUUAGUUGCCAGCACGUAAAGGUGGGCACUUUAGCGAGACUGCCUCGGUGAACGGGGAGGAAGGUGAGGAUGACGUCAAGUCCGCAUGGCCCUUAUGCCUAGGGCUACACACGUACUACAAUGGUUCGUACAGAGGGAAGCGGCACUGUGAAGUGUAGCGGAGCCCUAAAGCGAGCCUCAGUUCAGAUUGGAGUCUGCAACUCGACUCCAUGAAGGUGGAAUUGCUAGUAAUGGCGAGUCAGCACAUCGCCGUGAAUACGUUCCCGGGUCUUGUACACACCGCCCGUCAAGUCAUGGGAGAGUAUCGUGACUGGGAAACAGAUCGGAAGAGCACACGUCUGAACUCCAGUCACCGGCU